UUUCCUGCCACUAGUCAUUUCUCAACUAUACAAACGAUGUAAUUUUGGAAGAAAUACAAUGAACUAAGACCUGAAUUCUGGCACGUGAGAAAAGUAAAUAACCAUAGCAGAUAGACAAAGUGAAAGUACAAAUUAGACAAGGUAAAGACACCAAUCGACAUAGGUAAAGAAAUAAAAUGGCAGCUAAAGUCUUCUUCUAUUUGAACUUGUCAAGAUUCAUCACCUCUGAUACUACAAAAUAAAGCACCAGAUUUCAACACACCUCCUUGGUGUUCCUUUUGCAGACUCCCAGUAAAGCUCUCAGUGAUUUUUAGCAAUGGAAAUAGCUGAUUUGUUAUCGAUCAUUAAUGGAGUUCCUAUCUUCUGCUCAAAUCCCAAAUCUCCCAAAAUCUUCUUGAUCCAUAUAGCUUGGUUUGCAGCAACUGCAGCUGAGGAUUAAGCAACCAUCUCUUGUUUCUUAGAGUUCCAUGAGAAGAUUACAGUGCCAAAAGAGAAGCAGUAACCUCCAGUACUUCUUGAAUCAUUUAAGCUUCCAGCCCAAUCACUAUCAUAAUAGCCAAUCAAAUCUCCACUAUUUACUUUUCAAACUUUAAACCAUAAUUGACUGUUCCUUUAAUGUAUCUUAAGACUCUCUUAGCAGCAGAAAAAUGAAUCUAAGAUGGUUUCUGCAUAAA